rnacentral:misc_RNA from 1 species
UGGUUGAGUGGAAUGAUGUGGGGUUGGGCAGUUCAAGGACCCAAUAUACCUUAUGAGCUCAAUGGAUUGAAGUCAAUCCUGCCAAAAAGUAGUGGAUUUUGGCCAACUUGGGUUGUUUGCUGGUUGGAUGAAAUGCUUACUAAAUGUAGGUUCCUGCUUUGGUUUUACUCUUGAGGAUUCUACAUCCAAAACCAAAAAGAAAACUCCACAUAAAAGAAAUAUUUUAAUUUUAGUCAAAAUGACUGUAGUUUCUUAAUAUUGUAUAAAUUCACAUGAAAAAGAUUCACAGAAUGUGUGAGUUUAAGGUUUGAUUGAACUAAAUAGAACCACAAAGCGGUAAGCAUCUCCUUUGAUUGUUCAUUGAUUAGAACAAAACAUGCACUGCUGUAUCUAUUUUGGGGAUUCUAGGAACACAAAUAGUUUUGGCAAUAAGCUAUUCACCUUUAUUGAAUGAGAGCUUUUAUCUUACAGCUUGUCUUUUGUCAUGUUGCAAGUUGAUAUCUAUAGCAUUUAUGUCCUUCCAGUGUGGCAUUUAUAAGUUUUAUAUUUUUAUUUAAGUGAUCAGUUUUUCUCACUGUAGAGUAGAAUGUGUUUUAUUAUAUGCUGCAAAUUCUUGGGAGUUUUUCGCUGAUUAAGCUUUUAUGAUUCAGGUAAGGAUGUUGUGUGAAAAGG